rnacentral:lncRNA from 1 species
CAUGGGCAUAUCCUUUUGAGUCGUCUCUCACCAACAAUGCGACUGCUGCCAUUGAUUGUCGUGCUUUGUGUGGUGUUGGUGACCACUGAAGGUGGUAGGUGUCGCAAAUUCGGCAAGGCGUGUGGAAAAUGGAACAGGGAUGUCUGCCGCUGGUGCUGGAGACCUCACAAGCGUCUCUGCUGUCUUCCGGGCGACACAUACGGUCGAAAAUGUUACAAAUUCGGCCAGGCGUGCGGUACAUGGAACAGGGAUGUCUGCCGCUGGUGCCGGAAACCUCACAAGCGUCUCUGCUGUCGCUCGGGCGACACCUUCGAGGAAUGCAAAGCAAAAUGCCACUACCCAUAUCAAUGCCGCACAUUAGGAGGAACGUGUACCAAAGGAUGGUGCUGUCCUCUGUACUAUCCGUAGACGGCCGCCACGUCGAAGACACCGAUGUUUCAGGUGGAAAGUGUUACAGAUUCGGCCAGGCGUGUGGAAAAUGGAAAACAAAUGUCUGCCGCUGGUGCUGGAAACCUCACAAGCAUCUCUGCUGUCUUUGGGGCGACACCUUCAAGGAAUGCAGAAGAAAAUGUCGCUUCCCCCGUCGAUGCAGCACAUUGAGAGGACGCUGUAGCAAAGGAUGGUGCUGUAUUCGGUGCAAAGGAAAACAUUGCAAGGGUUAACUGCACCACCUACUGUCGGCUGCCGCUGUCAUCACGGGAUGGAUAGCGACUGCAGUGAUGUUGAUAUGUCGCUGCAUGCACACGGUAUUCCUAUUUUAUGUUGAACGCACUUUUGCAAGAUCGUGUUCGAUUUCCUGCACGUGUUUAUGCGAACCGGACAGGCAGCUUCUUAGGAGAGGGUGUUACAUUGAAUACAAUUACGGGAUCGUG